rnacentral:rRNA from 1 species
GACGAACGCUGGCGGCGUGCUUAACACAUGCAAGUCGUACGGUAAGGCCCUUUCGGGGGUACACGAGUGGCGAACGGGUGAGUAACACGUGCGUAACCUGCCCACAACUUUGGGAUAACGCUAGGAAACUGGUGCUAAUACUGGAUAUGUGCUCCUGCUGCAUGGUGGGGGUUGGAAAGCUCCGGCGGUUGUGGAUGGACUCGCGGCCUAUCAGCUUGUUGGUGGGGUAGUGGCCUACCAAGGCGGCGACGGGUAGCCGGCCUGAGAGGGUGACCGGCCACAUUGGGACUGAGAUACGGCCCAGACUCCUACGGGGGGCAGCAGUGGGGAAUAUUGCACAAUGGGCGCAAGCCUGAUGCAGCAACGCCGCGUGCGGGAUGACGGCCUUCGGGUUGGAAACCGCUUUCAGCAGGGACGAAGCUUUGUGUGACGGUACCUGCAGAAGAAGCACCGGCUAACUACGUG